UACGAAGGGGGCUAGCGUUGUUCGGAAUUACUGGGCGUAAAGUGCACGUAGGCGGAUAUUUAAGUCAGGGGUGAAAUCCCAGAGCUCAACUCUGGAACUGCCUUUGAUACUGGGUAUCUUGAGUAUGGAAGAGGUAAGUGGAAUUGCGAGUGUAGAGGUGAAAUUCGUAGAUAUUCGCAGGAACACCAGUGGCGAAGGCGGCUUACUGGUCCAUUACUGACGCUGAGGUGCGAAAGCGUGGGGAGCAAACAGGG
rnacentral:rRNA from 1 species